GUGUCCGAAGUCGAAGUGGUGGAGAUGCUUGUUUGUGAAGCAAGUGAUUAGCGGGUUCAACUCCCGUCGGACACC
rnacentral:tRNA from 1 species